ensembl:snRNA Gm23981 predicted gene, 23981
GUAUGUGCUUUGGACACGCAUAUACUAAAACUGAAACAAUUCGGAGAUGAUCAGUGUGGUUUCUGGUGAGGAUAACAUGGAAGUUUGUGAAGUAUGCUAUAGUUUU